UUUUAUUAUCUUAGGAGAAAGAUUCAUCAGACUAAGAUUUCGAUCCUAGGAGAAAAUUCAUCAGACUAGGUCUCUUUUUAUUAUCUUAGGAGAAAGAUUCAUCGGACUAAGAUUUCGAUACUAGGAGAAAAUUCAUCAGACUAGGUUUUCUAUCUUAGGACAAAGAUUCAUCAGACUAAGAUUUUGAUCCUUGGAGAAAGUUCAUCAGACUAGGUCUUUUUUUUUGUUAUCUUAGGAGAAAGAUUCAUCAGACUAAGACGUUUAUCCUAGGAGAAACUUCAUCAGACUAGAUUUUCUAUCUUAGGAGAAAGAUUCAUCAGACUAAGAUUUUGAUCCUAGGAGAAAGUUCAUCAGAUUAGGUCCUUUUUUUAUGGUAUCUUAGGAGAAAGAUUCAUCAGACUAAGAUUUUGAUCCUAGGAGAAAGUUUAUCAGACUAGGUUUUCUAUCUUAGGAGAAAA
rnacentral:lncRNA from 1 species